rnacentral:lncRNA from 1 species
AUUGGAUACUUUUUAUUUACAUUUCAAAUGUUAUUCCCUUUCCCAGUUUCCUGGCAUAAGCCACCUAUCCCAUCUCCCUCACUUUCUUCUAUAAGGGUGUUUCCCCUCCCUAGCCAACUCCCCUUCCCGCCUCCCCACCCUGACAUCCCCCUACACUGGGGCAUCGAGCCUUGACAGGACCAAGGGCUUCUCCUCCCAUUGGUGCCCAACAAGGCCAUCCUCUUCUACAUAUGCAGCUGGAGCCAUGGGUCCGUCCAUGUAUAGUCUUUGGGUAGUGGUUUAGUCCCUGGAAGCUCUGGUUGGUAUUGUUGUUCUUAUGGGGCUGCAAGCCCCUUCAGCUCUUUCAAUCCUUUCUCUAACUCCUUCAAGGGACCCGUUCUCAGUUCAAUGGUUUGCUGCUAGCACUCGCUUCUCUAUUUGUCAAGCUCCAGCUGAGCCUCUCAGGAGACAGCUGUAUCAGGCUCCUGUCAGCAUGCACUUCUUGGCUUCAUCAAUAUUGUCUAGGUUUGGUGGCUGUAUAUAUAUAUAUGGGCUGGAUCCCCAGGUGGGGCAGGCUCUGAAUGGCCAUUCCUUCAGUCUCUGCUGCAAACUUUGUCUCCAUAUCUCCUCCUAAGAAUAUAAUUUUUAUCUCUCUGUGUGCACCUGGACUUAACUUUUCUUGAGUCA